CACAGUCCUGGGGCAAGAGCCUGGCAAGCAGGCUCCUCCAGGAACCCAUGGCGAGGUUAUGUUCGCCACAUGUGCAAUGUUUGUUGCACAGAAUUUCAAUCAUUGGUUGAGAGUAGUCACUGGACCACAAGGGAGUAAACACUCUAAAUUACCUACGUACUCAUAGAAACAUAGAAUGUAACAGCAAAUAAAAGCCCAUCUAGUCUGCC